rnacentral:rRNA from 1 species
GCGCGCAAAUUACCCAAUCCUGACACGGGGAGGUAGUGACAAUAAAUAACAAUACCGGGCGCGUUAGUGUCUGGUAAUUGGAAUGAGUACAAUCUAAAUCCCUUAACGAGGAUCCAUCGGAGGGCAAGUCUGGUGCCAG